GAGCUUCUUUCGUUGGGUGUCUGGCGUUCAUGGUGCUUGUCCCAGUGGUCCGCGAUCGUUUCAAUACAGCACGAAUCCUGGGAGCAAGUGCCAGAAUCCAGGCACAAGUCUACAAGAGUGCUAU
rnacentral:precursor_RNA from 10 species